GACGUAGGGCGCGAGCGUUGUCCGGAUUUAUUGGGCGUAAAGAGCUCGUAGGCGGCUUGUCGCGUCGUCCGUGAAAACUUGGGGCUCAACCCCAAGCUUGCGGUCGAUACGGGCAGGCUAGAGUUCGGUAGGGGAGACUGGAAUUCCUGGUGUAGCGGUGGAAAUGACGCAGAUAUCAGGAGGAACACCGGUGGCGAAGGCGGGUCUCUGGGCCGAUACUGACGCUGAGGCGCGAAAGCGUGGGGAGCAAACAGG
rnacentral:rRNA from 1 species